rnacentral:rRNA from 1 species
GACGAAUGCUGGCUGCGUGCUUAACACAUGCAAGUCGAACGGUGAAGGGGAGCUUGCUCCCCGGAUCAGUGGCGAACGGGUGAGUAACACGUGGGCAACCUGCCCCUCACUCUGGGAUAACUCCGGGAAACCGGGGCUAAUACCGGAUACGACCGGGAGCGACAUCGCUCCUGGUGGACAGAACUGCGGUGAGGGAUGGGCCCGCGGCCUCUCAGCUAGUUGGUGGGGUAACGGCCCACCAAGGCGACGACGGGUAGCCGGCCGGCGAGGGCGACCGGCCACACUGGGACUGAGACACGGCCCAGACUCCUACGGGAGGCAGCAGUGGGGAAUAUUGCGCAAUGGGCGAAAGCCUGACGCAGCGACGCAGCGUGAGGGACGAAGGCCUUCGGGUUGUAAACCUCUUUCAGCGGGGACGAAGCGAAAGUGACGGUACCCGCAGAAGAAGCACCGGCUAACUACGUGCCAGCAGCCGCCGUAA